rnacentral:rRNA from 1 species
CGGACGAGUACCGGGUUGUAAGUACCAUACGAAUAAAGAUCGGCUAACUCCGUGCCAGCACCCGCGGUAAUACGGAAGAUACGAGCGUUAUCCGGAUUCAUUGGGUUUAAAGGGAGCGUAGGCGGAGCUAUAAGUCAGAGGUGAAAUUAUACCGCUCAACUUAACCUGUGCACUGGAUACUGUAUGGCUUGAGUGUAGUAGAGGUGAGGGGAAUGGGUUUUGUAGCGGUGAAAUGCUUAGAUAUGACAUAGAACACAAAUCGCGAAGGCAACGCACUGCCCUGGGACUGACGCGAAGGCACGGCAGCGUGGGGAUCAGACAGGAUUAGAUACCCUGGUAGUCCACUCCGUAAACGAUGAUUACUCGCUGUUGGCGAUACACAGUACUGUGGCUAAGCGAAAGCGUUAAGUAUUCCACCUGGGGAGUACGAC